GGUCUGUAUGUCAUCUCAAACCCGGAACCACGAUGUGUGUGUGAUUACUUUCAUUGUUUGCCACCUGCCAAAAGGAACCGAAGCGAUGCGUUGGAUCAAAGAAGUUUACGUGUGUUUAAUAUCGCUAUCGUUCGUUGUUUGGCCUGUGUGGACUACAGUCACAGAGACAACACAAAACUACACCUGCACGGAAGAAUUGCACCAUGUAAAAUCUGAAUAUGCAAUGGAGAACCCAGACUGUGAUCAGUAUUGGUCUGCACAGGAACAUUCCAUUGGAACGUUUGUGAGAUCCACCCCCGAGUGUCACAGUCCAUGUAAAGAGUUGUUCGUUGGGAGAAUCAUACUAACUGGAUGUGUCAAUAUCACCCUGGCUGUAAUAUGCGCAAGAGAUUAUUUGAUGGAACACCGUAUACAUUUUUAUGGCAUAAUGGUCCCGGUCCCUCAAUCACUGCACAACCCUGUGAAGAGAGAUCACAUCGGUAUUUUCCUGACCAUUGCCUUGCUGGUCAUAGCCAUUUCAUGUCUGCUAGGUGCUGGAUGUGCAUACAAAAACAACAGAGGCAGGGAUGAAGAGAGCCUUCAGCAGAGAUUCUCUUGAACUUUUUACAGUCUUUUUAACGUUAUCAUGGCACGGACUCAUAUUUGUAUAUAGCAUAGGAAUUGGAGAUGCACAGAUACUAAAUUUCACCACAGAUAACCCAUUAUUUAAAAUGAUGUCUGGCGAUAUUGAUAGUUUGAGUUUUCUUAAAGAAAAAAAAAAUCCCUCUCAACUAAUGCUGUAAACUAUAAAGGGAACCCUCUCACUUGGUACAUUAAUAUUACAGAUUAAAAUUAACAACAGAACUAUUAUAUAUUAUAUAUUCAGCUGCUAUUUUUUUUUCAGAGAUAAUAAACAUUGGAUGACUUUCCUGAGGUAAAUGCAAUGUUAAGUGACAUUGCUCAUAAGCUGUUUUGUUGUUUAUCCACCCCCUUUUUGAUUGACAGAAUAUAAUUGGCUGAUCGGUGAUCACUAAUAGGAAUACUACAUCAACUUUAUAUAUGGUUUGUCCAGAGUAUUACAGUUAACUAGAAACUUUUGUUACUUGAAAUAAAAUAACCGUUAUCUGAAAUAAGAUAAAAAUAGGCUAGUUGCCAAGAAAGAAAGUUUAACUUAAUGUACUAAAAUAACUAAAAUUAAAAUUAUUUAAAAACUUAAUUUUAUACUAGACGUAUAAAAUUAAAAAAAAAAAAAUCUUAAAUAAAAGUAGAAAAUAUUUUAACUUAUUAUAACUAAUGUGAUUACUUAACAGUUUUGCACAUUUAUAGCUGUGUAAAUGGAGACACAUGAAAACACUUCAUUUGGGUUUGAUGUCUUAUCCUCAGAACUUUUUUUAGUAUUGUGUUAAUAUAUCUAUUUUUUUUUUCUAUGCUUCAUAUCUACCUCUGAUGAUUGUUUUAUUGCUAGUCUAGUUUUUUUUUUUUUUUUUUUGACCGUGUCACUGGACUGAUGCAUAAAACAAAAAUUUCUUCAAAUUAAAGUAUUAUUUGUACAAAAUGUUCUAACUAUGCUGUUUUUUUUUUUUAAUUGAUAAUUUGUUUUUUUGUAUAGUCGAAAGAAACUUGUGAAACAACCUUUUGUUCUAUACUAUAGAAAAAAAACAUGACAGUGUCCUGGCAGAAUAACCACUGUUGUAGUUCAUUGUCAUUUGUCAACAAUAAACACAAAGCCAAAGA